CUUUCUAGACUCAGACUUGUAGAUAAGACUAGAAUGAGUAAGAAAAUAAGAGAAAUAGAGGAGGAAGAUGAAGGGAGAAGGAAUAGAGGAGGUGGUAAAACAGGAAAAUGCUAAGAAAACAAUAUUUAGGUUAAUUUUCCCUGCUGCCCUGUCUGUCUUUAUAGUAUUUGUCUUCCUUGACAGUGCUUUCAGUGUAUUUGGCGUGUUUAGGCGGUGUUGGAGUGUGUCUGGAGGUGUUUACGGGGUGUUGGAGUGUGUGUUGAUGGGAUGUGGUGAUGUUUGAGUCAAUAUUUAGCGUUCCUGGUGUGUUUUGGUGUAUCUUAGGCUUGUUUAGGAGUGCUUUAAGUGUGCUUUGAACUGUUUUCAAUGUUUUGAGAUGUUUUGAGUGUAUUUUGGGAUGUUAUGGAUGAGUUUGGGUGUGUUUUGUGUGGAUACGGGUGAGUUGUGGCCGCGUUUGUGGGUAAUUUUGGGUAUUUUAGGUCAGUCUGGGUGUGUUUUGGGGUGUUUUAAGUGUGUUUUGGGCCGUUUUCAGCGUUUUGGGAUGUUUUAAAUGUGUUUUGGGAUGUUAUGGAUGAGUUUGAGUGUGUUUUGGGUUGGUACGGUGUGUUUUGGAUGCGUUUUAAGUCAAUUUGGGUGAGUUUUGGAGUAUUUUAAGUGUGUUUGGGUAUAUUUUGGUGCCUUUUCGAUGUGUUUAGGAUGUUCUUUAUGCGUUUAGGAAUGUUCUGGGUAUGUUUAAGGUGUUUUAAUGUGUUUUAGUGUGAUUGGAGUUGCGUUUGAGGUGUUUUGGUUAUGUUAUAGGCAUGUUGCAGGUAAGAAUGGGGUCUUUGAGGGUAGAAGUAGUGUGCUUGAGGGAAAAUAAAAGAUUCUGGAGUAUUUUGGGAAGGGGCUAUGAUCGUAGAAACGUGUCAGGGGCGUUAUAGCUUGUGUUGUGAUAUAUGAAGCUACUAGAUGCAAGUGUGGGGAAAUUCUGGGUCUGGAUGGGGUGUUGUGGUGUUAGAGUCCUAGCAGGGGGAGGUACUGGAGGUUGUAAGGAUGUGUAGAGGGUAAAUAGAGAGGUACACGGUAGGUUAGGUUAGGUUAGGCGUUGAUUCAGUAAUACAAUGUAGAGGUAAUGUUCAGUUAUACGAAUUCAGUAAUACGAAUGUAGAGGGACAAAAGAGAAAAGCAGGAAGACCACCAGCAGCAGCAGCAGCAGCAGCACAGUGGAAGAAAGAUGUAAACAAAGCGGUGGUUUCCUUCCAGCUGGUGAUAAGACUUCCUCUCGCUCUCCCUCGCUCUCCCACGUCACGGAAGCAGUGAUAAGCACACGAGGAGGAAAGCAACGGCAACCCUCCGAUCCGGCAAGCAAAUUGGCGGCAGCGAUGGCGGUGGCGGCGGCAGUGGUGGUGAGGUGGACGGCAGGGACAGAGGGGCAGUACAGGCUGUGGACAUCAAGGAGAAGAGGAACGCACGGACAAGCAAGGUGUUAUUCGGCAGUCUGAUCCUGGACCUGCUCGGCUUGAAGGUGGUGCUGCCCGUGUCUCCUGCUCUCCUCGACUGUUACUCCAAGCACAACACCAGCGGCUUGUAUUCCUCUCAGCUCUCCUGUGUGACUUAUUACCAGCAUAUCAUCGGUUUCGCUGCGAGGUUCCAUUCUGUCUUGUUUGGUAAUUGAGUGGGUUUGUUGUGUUUUGUAUUGGUUUAUAUAUUUUUAGCUUGUUUUUAUUAUUAUUUUUUCAAUUUUUUUAUCCUAUUAUCUAUUUAUUUAUUUUUUGUUUGUUUGUUUGUUUACAGGGUGUGUGUGUGUUUGUUUGUGUUCCUGCUGUUCAGUAUUGCAGCUUGUUUUCUUUAUUAUUGUUAUUUUGUGUUUUAUUCUAUUUCAGUGUUCUGAGGGAGUCUUCAGGUGUUUUUGGGGUGUUUUUGGAGUGUUUUGGGGUGUUUUUGGUGUGUUGUGAAGUGUUUUGAUGUGUUUUGGGGUGGUUAAGGGGUGUUUUGAAGUGUUUUGUGGUGUUGUGGAGGUGUUUUGGGAUUUUUGGUGUGUUUUAAAGUGUUUUGGGAUGUUUUUGGAAUGUUUUGAUGUGUUUUGAGAUGUUUAGGAGUAUUUUUGGAGUAUUUUGGUGUGUUUUUGGAGUGUUUUGGGAUGUGUUUGUAGUGUUUUGGGGUGUUUUGGGGUAUUUUGAAGGUGUUUUGGUGUGUUUUUGGAGUGUUUUGGGGUAUUUUGGGAUGUUUUGGUGUGUUUUGGGUUAUUUUGAGAGUGUUUUGGUGUGUUUUUGGUGUUUCUGGGUGUUUUGGAGUAUUUUGAGGGUGUUUAAAGGUGUUGUGGUAGUUUAAAAUAUAUUGUUAGUUUACUUGGUAAGUUGGUAAGGCUGGUACACACACACAAACCCAUAAGAGAUACUGGUAUAUGCUCAGAAACCUCUACAUAUAUUAAGUAAGGCUUGUAUACACCAAUCUAAAUGUAGGUUGAAGAGAUACCUUUUACUCUCUCUUUCUCUCUUUCUCUCUCUCUGUCCUACACCUCAGUACACCCCUGCUAUCCACCCUUACACCAUAAAUACACCCUAUCUGACCUCUGCAUCUUAUUAAACUACCCUGUUUGUCCCCUACAUCCUCAGUUUCUCCCCUACACCCUCAGUAAACCCUGUGUAUCUUACCUGUUUGUCUGUCUGUGUGUCUAUCCCCUUACACUUCAUAACACCCCUGCCAGCCCCCUGCUUACCACCCCCCCUCCCCUC